UACGUAGGGGGCAAGCGUUGUCCGGAAUCAUUGGGCGUAAAGCGCGCGUAGGCGGCCCUGUAAGUCCGCUGUGAAAGUCAAAGGCUCAACCUUUGAACGCCGAUGGAUACUGCCGGGCUAGAGUCCGGAAGAGGAGAAUGGAAUUCCUGGUGUAGCGGUGAAAUGCGCAGAUAUCAGGAAGAACACCCGUGGCUAAGGCGGUUCUCUAGUACGGUACUGACGCUGAGACGCGAAAGCGUGGGGAGCGAACAGG
rnacentral:rRNA from 1 species